rnacentral:rRNA from 1 species
ACGGGUGCGUAACACGUGAGCAAUCUGCCGAGAAGUGGGGGAUAACUCGCCGAAAGGCGAAUUAAUACCGCAUAUGGCCAGGAGGGACAUCCUUCCGAAGCCAAAGCCGCAAGGCGCUUCUUGAUGAGCUCGCGGCCUAUCAGCUAGUUGGUGAGGUAAUGGCUCACCAAGGCAAUGACGGGUAGCUGGUCUGAGAGGACGACCAGCCACACUGGAACUGAGACACGGUCCAGACACCUACGGGUGGCAGCAGUCGAGAAUUUUUCACAAUGGGGGCAACCCUGAUGGAGCGACGCCGCGUGGAGGAUGAAGGUCUUCGGAUUGUAAACUCCUGUCAAACGGGAACAAGAAAGUGAUAGUACCGUUAGAGGAAGAGACGGCUAACUCUGUGCCAGCAGCCGCGGUAAUACAGAGGUCUCAAGCGUUGUUCGGAUUCAUUGGGCGUAAAGGGUGCGCAGGCUGUGGGGUAAGUCGGAUGUGAAAUUUAGGGGCUCAACCUCUAAACUGCAUUCGAUACUGCUCCGCUAGAGGUAUGUAGAGGAGAUUGGAAUUCACGGUGUAGCAGUGAAAUGCGUAGA